GGGACACAGUUCAACCCAUAACAAUCUUCUGUUCAGGAUAACAACAGAUCCCUUUGAUAACUAAGCCAGAUUGUUCAUGUUCUUUGAACUUGGUUGAAAAAAAAUGUUUAUAUUUCAACCUGCUGAGCUGCUCACAUUUAAAAGAGAAUAAGUGGCUUCUUCAAAUCAAGACACCCAGGGCAGCGGAGACUUGCCUCACGAACAAUGGCUGAGAGAGACACCUGGCUGCGGGCGCAUCAAGUAGCUGCAUUGUUAAGCCUGCUGAAUUGUGGAGAAUGCGCGUUCAGCAAAUCACAGUUCCUAAAAAGU